AAAUGCACAUACUGUGAGCUCGAUGAGUAGGGCGGGACACGUGGUAUCCUGUCUGAAUAUGGGGGGACCAUCCUCCAAGGCUAAAUACUCCUGACUGACCGAUAGUGAACCAGUACCGUGAGGGAAAGGCGAAAAGAACCCCGGCGAGGGGAGUGAAAAAGAACCUGAAACCGUGUACGUACAAGCAGUGGGAGCACGCUUCGGCGUGUGACUGCGUACCUUUUGUAUAAUGGGUCAGCGACUUAUAUUCUGUAGCAAGGUUAACCGAAUAGGGGAGCCGAAGGGAAACCGAGUCUUAACUGGGCGUUAAGUUGCAGGGUAUAGACCCGAAACCCGGUGAUCUAGCCAUGGGCAGGUUGAAGGUUGGGUAACACUAACUGGAGGACCGAACCGACUAAUGUUGAAAAAUUAGCGGAUGACUUGUGGCUGGGGGUGAAAGGCCAAUCAAACCGGGAGAUAGCUGGUUCUCCCCGAAAGCUAUUUAGGUAGCGCCUCGUGAAUUCAUCUCCGGGGGUAGAGCACUGUUUCGGCAAGGGGGUCAUCCCGACUUACCAACCCGAUGCAAACUGCGAAUACCGGAGAAUGUUAUCACGGGAGACACACGGCGGGUGCUAACGUCCGUCGUGAAGAGGGAAACAACCCAGACCGCCAGCUAAGGUCCCAAAGUCAUGGUUAAGUGGGAAACGAUGUGGGAAGGCCCAGACAGCCAGGAUGUUGGCUUAGAAGCAGCCAUCAUUUAAAGAAAGCGUAAUAGCUCACUGGUCGAGUCGGCCUGCGCGGAAGAUGUAACGGGGCUAAACCAUGCACCGAAGCUGCGGCAGCGACACUAUGUGUUGUUGGGUAGGGGAGCGUUCUGUAAGCCUGUGAAGGUGUACUGUGAGGUAUGCUGGAGGUAUCAGAAGUGCGAAUGCUGAC
rnacentral:rRNA from 1 species